CUGGUUGAUCCUGCCAGUAGUCAUAUGCUUGUCUCAAAGACUAAGCCAUGCAUGUCUAAGUAUAAAUGAUAUACAGUGAAACUGCGAAUGGCUCAUUAAAACAGUUAUAGUUUAUUUGGUAAUCGAAUUUACAUGGAUAACCGUGGUAAUUCUAGAGCUAAUACAUGCUGUAAAGCCCGACUUCACGGAAGGGCCGUAUUUAUUAGAUAACAGACCAAUAUUCCUCGUGUCUAUUGUGGUGAAUCAUAGUAACUAAUCGGAUCGCAUGGGCUAGUCCCGCGACAAACCAUUCAAGUUUCUGCCCCAUCAGCUUUCGAUGGUAGUGUAUUGGACUACCAUGGCUUUUACGGGUAACGGAGGAUUAGGGUUCGAUUCCGGAGAGGGAGCCUGAGAAACGGCUACCACAUCUAAGGAAGGCAGCAGGCGCGUAAAUUACCCAAUCCUAAUUCAGGGAGGUAGUGACAAGAAAUAACGGGUCGGGGCUAUGCCCCGGGACUGCAAUGAGAUGAAUUUACACCCCUUUUCGAGUAACAAUUGGAGGGCAAGUCUGGU
rnacentral:rRNA from 1 species